CCCAGCAGCGUAAGUGGUGACCAGUGUGGGCCUCUUUGAUCCUGAGACCGAAGGCUCGGCCACUGGCCCUCUCCAUUUGUUCCUUGUUGCCCUCCCUUCAUGAUUCAAUCCAUUAAUUAGGACUUUUCCUACCAGCUGGCAGUUCAGAGCUCCGCAUCCCCAGGCCUCUGAGUCACAGUUCCUGCCUUCAUGAAACUAGGAGUUGGGGCCACUGCAUUCUACUCCUUCGGGACUAUUGUUUCAUUUCUCAGUCCCUCAAACCCUUUAUUGGAUGAACAUGGGGUUAGGACAGCGGUUCUCCACUGCAACAGUUUUGCCUCCCAGGAGACAUUUGGCAAUGUAUGAAUCAUUUUCAGCCUCUCAUCUGGGGUGAGAUGUCAUUGGAAUCUACAGAUGGUGGAGGGCACAGGCUAUUUUCUGAUCGGUUUCUGAAACCUGAAAAUGGAAUUAGCAGAAGAACUAUCCUGAACGAAUAUGUGACCACAGAGUAGGAUCCUCUUGAGCCCCAAAUGAGAUAUAACUAUUACCAUAAUCAAGAGUUGACUGGAGGUAAAGAACACUACAAUCCCAGUGUUCUAGUGACAAAGCCACUAAAGAAGCUGGUUCUGACCUACUGUAAGCAAGCCAUGCAGACUCAGCAGACCAGAAAACGUCUUUCUCCUGCUUUUCAGGCUACUUGCUCAUACCAUUUACCUAUACCACUUAGUUGCUCAUCUAUUAAACUUAGAGGACUUUUCCCUCUUUCAUUUCAUAGCCAGGCAGACUGCCCAAGACACCCUUGGGGAAACCUACUAUUUUUUUCUGUCUACCACGGUGUUUCGAACUUCUCACACUUCUGAGAAUCCUCCUCCUUCUCAGUAGACAACCAUGGAUUCUACUGCAGAAAACACAGAAGCCAUCAGAUUCAAACUCUUUCACCUUCACGCCAACCCAUCUAUAAGCCUUCUUAAAUUUGUACCCAGAUGGGCCUCCUGUCUUUGUGUUAACAUGAAAAAGUGUCUCUUCCUGUCUAUCUAAAGCCAAUCCCACCUCCUACGCUCUGCUGCCCUUCCCAUCUUCUAGGAACCGUGUGCUUCUUUCCUUACAUUGGCUCUCCAGGUGUCUCAUCCAUUCUCAUAGCUUUAAAAGACACUUAUUUUCGUCACUGGUGUCAGCAGCCCAACCUUCUACUCAGACGCCAGCCUAUACACCCUACUGCCUAUCUCACAUCUCUUCUUGAUGUCCCACAGAUAACUCAAUUUAUCUAAAAUGUAACCCAAUUUUUUUUCUUAUCCCUACUCUUAUUAUACUAACUAGCACCAACCGUCAACCCAGUUGCUCAAGCUAGGAAUCUGAAAGUCAUUGAUUUUCGCUUUCCCUCAUUCCUUACAUUUAUCAGCAAACUGUCAAAUCCACUUCCAAAAAUCUCCACUCCAGUCUCCACUGGCACCACCCUAUUUCAAGCUGCCAUCAUCUCUUGCACUGACUACUGCCACAGCCUCCUAACUGGUCUCCUUCAUUCCAUUCAGCACUUUGCAUACAACAGCCAGAGUCAUCUUUUCAGCGCUUUCAUGCCAUUCCCCUGCUGAAAAUCCUUUGCAACUGCUUCUAACUGCACUUAAAUAAAAUCCAAAUGCCGUAUCAGGUCUACAAAGCCCCACACAAUACAGCCUAUCUACUCCUCCAAAUUUAUCCUGUGCUACUCUUCCUUUGCUCCAGCCACACUGGCCUUUUUUAGUUCUAAGAAUCAUAUAACUAAGCUCUUUCCUGCCGCAGUGCCCUUGUACAUGCUACUCCACUCCUGGAAUGUCUAACUCUCUCUCAUCUUUCAGGUUUUAGCAUUAAUUCCAUAUUCUCAGAGAAGCCUUUUUUAGCUACCCUAGCCCUCCAAUGUCCUAUGUCCCCCCAUACUGUUGUAUUUCAGUAUCCUGUGAUAUCACUGAUCAAAAUUUAUAUUCAUUUUGUUUGUUGUUGG
ensembl:lncRNA novel transcript, antisense to FERMT2